UGUGGAUGAUGACGAUUGAAUAUUUGCUACUUCAUAUUGUUUGUGAUGACUAAAACCAUAUCACCAAGAUCUUUGACACA
rnacentral:snoRNA from 1 species